rnacentral:rRNA from 1 species
UACAGAGACCUCAAGCGUUAUCCGGAUUUACUGGGCGUAAAGCGUCCGCAGACGGCUUGGUGCGUCUUGCGUCAAAUGUUAGAGCUCAACUCUGACACUGCGUGGGAUACGGCCAAGCUCGAGGUUGGGAGAGGUAAGCGGAAUUGCCGGUGUAGUAGUAAAAUGCGUUAAUAUCGGCAAGAACACCAAUUGCGAAGGCAGCUUACUAGAACAAACCUGACGUUCAUGGACGAAAGCGUGGGGAGCGAAAGGG